rnacentral:rRNA from 1 species
UAAGUGGGAAACGAUGUGGGAAGGCCCAGACAGCCAGGAUGUUGGCUUAGAAGCAGCCAUCAUUUAAAGAAAGCGUAAUAGCUCACUGGUCGAGUCGGCCUGCGCGGAAGAUGUAACGGGGCUAAACCAUGCACCGAAGCUGCGGCAGCGACACUAUGUGUUGUUGGGUAGGGGAGCGUUCUGUAAGCCUGUGAAGGUGGCCUGUGAGGGUUGCUGGAGGUAUCAGAAGUGCGAAUGCUGACAUAAGUAACGAUAAAGCGGGUGAAAAGCCCGCUCGCCGGAAGACCAAGGGUUCCUGUCCAACGUUAAUCGGGGCAGGGUGAGUCGACCCCUAAGGCGAGGCCGAAAGGCGUAGUCGAUGGGAAACGGGUUAAUAUUCCCGUACUUGGUGUUACUGCGAAGGGGGGACGGAGAAGGCUAUGUUGGCCGGGCGACGGUUGUCCCGGUUUAAGCGUGUAGGUGUGUGUUCCAGGUAAAUCCGGUUCACUUUAACACUGAGGCGUGAUGACGAGGCACUACGGUGCUGAAGCAACAAAUGCCCUGCUUCCAGGAAAAGCCUCUAAGCAUCAGGUAACAUCAAAUCGUACCCCAAACCGACACAGGUGGUCAGGUAGAGAAUACCAAGGCGCUUGAGAGAACUCGGGUGAAGGAACUAGGCAAAAUGGUGCCGUAACUUCGGGAGAAGGCACGCUGACAUGUAGGUGAAGUGAUUUACUCAUGGAGCUGAAGUCAGUCGAAGAUACCAGCUGGCUGCAACUGUUUAUUAAAAACACAGCACUGUGCAAACACGAAAGUGGACGUAUACGGUGUGACGCCUGCCCGGUGCCGGAAGGUUAAUUGAUGGGGUCAGCGCAAGCGAAGCUCCUGAUCGAAGCCCCGGUAAACGGCGGCCGUAACUAUAACGGUCCUAAGGUAGCGAAAUUCCUUGUCGGGUAAGUUCCGACCUGCACGAAUGGCGUAAUGAUGGCCAGGCUGUCUCCACCCGAGACUCAGUGAAAUUGAACUCGCUGUGAAGAUGCAGUGUACCCGCGGCAAGACGGAAAGACCCCGUGAACCUUUACUAUAGCUUGACACUGAACAUUGAGCCUUGAUGUGUAGGAUAGGUGGGAGGCUUUGAAGUGUGGACGCCAGUCUGCAUGGAGCCGACCUUGAAAUACCACCCUUUAAUGUUUGAUGUUCUAACGUGGACCCGUAAUCCGGGUUGCGGACAGUGUCUGGUGGGUAGUUUGACUGGGGCGGUCUCCUCCUAAAGAGUAACGGAGGAGCACGAAGGUUGGCUAAUCCUGGUCGGACAUCAGGAGGUUAGUGCAAUGGCAUAAGCCAGCUUGACUGCGAGCGUGACGGCGCGAGCAGGUGCGAAAGCAGGUCAUAGUGAUCCGGUGGUUCUGAAUGGAAGGGCCAUCGCUCAACGGAUAAAAGGUACUCCGGGGAUAACAGGCUGAUACCGCCCAAGAGUUCAUAUCGACGGCGGUGUUUGGCACCUCGAUGUCGGCUCAUCACAUCCUGGGGCUGAAGUAGGUCCCAAGGGUAUGGCUGUUCGCCAUUUAAAGUGGUACGCGAGCUGGGUUUAGAACGUCGUGAGACAGUUCGGUCCCUAUCUGCCGUGGGCGCUGGAGAACUGAGGGGGGCUGCUCCUAGUACGAGAGGACCGGAGUGGACGCAUCACUGGUGUUCGGGUUGUCAUGCCAAUGGCACUGCCCGGUAGCUAAAUGCGGAAGAGAUAAGUGCUGAAAGCAUCUAAGCACGAAACUUGCCCCGAGAUGAGUUCUCCCUGAGACUUUAAGUCUCCUGAAGGAACGUUGAAGACGACGACGUUGAUAGGCCGGGUGUGUAAGCGCAGCGAUGCGUUGAGCUAACCGGUACUAAUGAACCGUGAGGCUUAACCUU